GGUAAAAUGGCUGAGAUAGAGGCAUUAGACUGUAAAUCUAAAGACAGAAUAGAAUUUCUUUUUACCA
rnacentral:tRNA from 1 species